AGGAGGAGCUGAGGAGCCAGAGGUGCAGGCCAUAAUGAGCAUGGAGUGGGUGCUGGUGGGGCAAAACAAUGCACAGGGCCUGAGACAUGAGGAUCAUCCUCCCACCAGGGCCAUGAUGGGGGCAUCCUACAGGAUGUCCAAGUUGUCUAAAAAUUCAGAUCUCCUGGAAACCUCUGAGGCCAAUUGUUCGGGCUCUAGAAAUUGGGGAAGUUGGGAAUUUUGAGCUCCAGAAGUUAUCCCUCCAAAGUGCCACCAGAGAUGUUCCUGGCCACCUGUGACAUUUCCUCAGAAUCUGUAUUAAAUUCAAGGUUCUUGAACCAUGGCUUGAUUAGAAAAGAACCCAUGAAUACUGAGGGAAGGGAAGACAGAUUUAUCUGAACCUAAACCCUCACACCAAUGAAUCACAUGUCCUUAUUAAAAAAUGAUUAGUUCAUA
rnacentral:lncRNA from 1 species